GCUGCUGUUUUCCGGAGGAAGCAGGUUUGAAAGAGCUUGGCUAAGCAGAGAUCGUACCACCACCAACUGCAAACACAUCUCUUAGCCUUUGCCUCUGUUGAAAAGGCAAGAAAAGGCUGGUGAAGAAACAAACGGCUUGUCAAGGUCAUCAGCUCACACGCACCUUCAUCAUCCGGCUCUGGCUGAAUCAAGCUCAGUGCAGACUGAGGUUUGGAGGGUCCUCAAGCCUGAAAGUGGCUCCUGGACGAAGACACCCGCCAUCCCUGAGACACGGUUUGGCUCCCUGGAGAAGAAGGCCCUGGACAGCGUGUUCCCGCAGAGGCAGAACUGAGCAUCCAUUCCACGCUGGGAGCAGCAGCGCGCUAGCCAAGCCCUUCCUCUGAGGAACUCCUGUUCUAGAAGCGCGGCAGUAAUGAAACUCUACCAAGAGUUGUUCCCAAUUUCAGAAGUCACAUGUCAGCCACGCCAGCUCCAUUCAUAGUAUUUCACUUGCCAUUGGAAAACGUUGGUCUGCGUCUGGUGUCAUGUUCAGAGUGAUUUACGCAGCGCCGCCAGCUUCUGAGUCCCUUUUUAGGUCUUAGAGGAGAGACAUGACGGAGCAUUUACAAUUUUUUAAGUGUAAUAUUUUGUUAUAAGUUACUUGUUCCCUAGUUUUUUCUUUAGAGAAAUAUAUGGAUUUUUUUUUUUAAUUC